rnacentral:rRNA from 1 species
GUGGGGAAUAUUGGACAAUGGGCGCAAGCCUGAUCCAGCCAUGCCGCGUGAGUGAUGAAGGUCCUAGGGUUGUAAAGCUCUUUCAGUGGGGACGAUAAUGACGGUACCCACAGAAGAAGCCCCGGCUAACUUCGUGCCAGCAGCCGCGGUAAUACGAAGGGGGCUAGCGUUGUUCGGAUUUACUGGGCGUAAAGCGCACGUAGGCGGAUCGUUAAGUCGAGGGUGAAAUCCUGGAGCUCAACUCCAGAACUGCCUUCGAUACUGGCGAUCUUGAGUCCGGAAGAGGUGAGUGGAACUCCUAGUGUAGAGGUGGAAUUCGUAGAUAUUAGGAAGAACACCAGUGGCGAAGGCGGCUCACUGGUCCGGUACUGACGCUGAGGUGCGAAAGCGUGGGGAGCAAACAGGAUUAGAUACCCCGGUAGUCC